rnacentral:rRNA from 1 species
GAUGAACGCUGACAGCAUGCUUAACACAUGCAAGUAUACUUGAACUUCGGUAUGGUUGGCGGCCAGGCGAGUAACGCGUAAAGAACUUGCCUCACAGAUAGGGACAACAUCUGGAAACGAAUGCUAAUACCAGAUAUUAUGAUUUUAGGGAAUCCCAGGAUUAUGAAAGUUAUAUGUGCUGUGAGAGUGCUUUGCGUACCAUUAGCUAGUUGGAGAGGUAACGGCUCACCAAGGCGAUGAUGGGUAGCCGGCCUGAGAGGGUGAACGGCCACAAGGGGACUGAGACACAGCACUAACGCAUACUGGGGGCAGCAGUGGAGAAUAAUGGACAAUGGACCAAUAGUCUGAUCCAGUAUUUCUGUGUUCACGAUGACGUGUUUCGGAAGGUAAAGUGUGUUCAGUGGGGGAGAACAAAAUGACGGUACCAACAGAAGAAGUGACGGCUAAAUACGUG